rnacentral:rRNA from 1 species
GUGUCAGCCGCCGCGGUAAUACGGAGGGGGCAAGCGUUGUUCGGAAUCAUUGGGCGUAAAGAGUAUGUAGGCGGCUAUUUAAGUCAGACGUGUAAGCCCACGGCUCAACCGUGGAAUUGCGUUUGAAACUAUUUAGCUUGAGUGCAGGAGAGGAAGGCGGAAUUCCCAGUGUAGCGGUGAAAUGCAUUGAUAUUGGGAAGAACACCGGUGGCGAAGGCGGCCUUCUGGUCUGACACUGACGCUGAGAUACGAAAGCCAGGGGAGCGAACGGGAUUAGAUACCCCGGUAGUCCUGGCCGUAAACGAUGGGCACUAGGUGCGGGAGGUAUUGAUCCCUUCCGUGUCGCAGCUAACGCAUUAAGUGCCCCGCCUGGGGAGUACGGUCGCAAGGCUGAAACUCAAAUGAAUUGACGG